rnacentral:rRNA from 1 species
GCAAGUCGAGCGCACUCUUCGGAGUGAGCGGCGGACGGGUUAGUAACGCGUGGGAAUAUACCCUUUACUACGGAAUAGCCUUUGGAAACGAAGAGUAAUACCGUAUACGCCCUUCGGGGGAAAGAUUUAUCGGACAAGGAUCGGCCCGCGUUAGAUUAGAUAGUUGGUGGGGUAAUGGCCUACCAAGUCUACGAUCUAUAGCUGGUUUUAGAGGAUGAUC